CACUGCCUCAGACAACGGGUGU
rnacentral:miRNA from 1 species